rnacentral:rRNA from 1 species
AGAGUUUGAUCCUGGCUCAGAACAAACGCUGGCGGCGUGUCUUAAGCAUGCAAGUCGGGCGGCAAGGGCAGCGAUGCCCCUAGAGCGGCGGACUGGUGAGUAACGCGUGGGUGAUCUACCUUUAGGGCAUGGGGAUAGCCAUUAGAAAUAGUGGGUAAUACCGAAUACGCUUGCACAGGUGAAGCUGUGUAAGGAAAGGUGCUACGGCAUCGGCCUAAAGAUGAGCUUGCGUCCCAUUAGCUAGUUGGUGAGGUAAGAGCCCACCAAGGCGAUGAUGGGUAGCCGGCCUGAGAGGGUGUACGGCCACACUGGGACUGAGAUACGGCCCAGACUCCUACGGGAGGCAGCAGCUAAGAAUAUUCCGCAAUGGACGAAAGUCUGACGGAGCGACGCCGCGUGGAUGAAGAAGGCCGAAAGGUUGUAAAAUCCUUUUGCUGGGGAAGAAUAAGUCUGGGAGGGAAUGCCCGGAUGAUGACAUGAACCGGCGAAUAAGCCCCGGCCAACUACGUGCCAGCAGCCGCGGUAACACGUAGGGGGCGAGCGUUGUUCGGAAUUACUGGGCGUAAAGGGCAUGUAGGCGGUUUUGUAAGCUUGGCGUGAAAGUCCACGGCUCAACUGUGGGAUAGCGUUGAGAACUGCGAAGCUUGAGUUAUGGAGAGGGAGCUAGAAUUCCU